AGAACGAGAAGGACCAACCACAGGCUGUGGUGAACCCCUACGGCUCAGAAUACAUGGAGCAAAACAAAGGAGCCUGUGCUCUCACUGGGGACGAGUUCAGUCUGUUGACAUACAACAAGGAGACCCUGCUGGAGGACAGCUGGCCAGAGCAGAAUCCGGACAGUCUUGUUGACGCUGGCCCGGCUGACAGGAAACAGGUCAG